GGGGAAUUUUCCGCAAUGGGCGAAAGCCUGACGGAGCAAUACCGCGUGAGGGAAGACGGCCUAUGGGUUGUAAACCUCUUUUCUCAGGGAGGAACUCAAUGACGUGUACCUGAGGAAUAAGCAUCGGCUAACUCCGUGCCAGCAGCCGCGGUAAGACGGAGGAUGCAAGUGUUAUCCGGAAUCACUGGGCGUAAAGCGUCUGUAGGUGGUUUAAUAAGUCAACUGUUAAAUCUUGAGGCCCAACCUCAAAAUCGCAGUCGAAACUAUUAGACUAGAGUAUAGUAGGGGUAAAGGGAAUUUCCAGUGGAGCGGUGAAAUGCGUAGAGAUUGGAAAGAACACCGAUGGCGAAGGCACUUUACUGGGCUAUUACUAACACUCAGAGACGAAAGCUAGGGUAGCAAAUGGGAUUAGAUACCCCAGUAGUC
rnacentral:rRNA from 1 species